rnacentral:rRNA from 1 species
GACGAACGCUGGCGGCGUGCCUAAUACAUGCAAGUCGAACGAGUGGCGAACGGGUGAGUAAUGUAACGGAACGUGCCCAGUAGCGGGGGUUAACUACCCGACCGCGUAGCUAAUAUCGCAUAAUAUUGGAACGGCCGAAAGCGGAUUCGCUAGUGGGUGGGGUAACGGCUCACCAAGGCGACGAUCCGUAGCUGGUUUGAGAGGACGACCAGCCACACUGGGACUGAGACACGGCCCAGACUCCUACGGGAGGCAGCAGUGGGGAAUUUUGGACAAUGGGGGAAACCCUGAUCCAGCCACCCCGCGUGUGCGAAGAAGGCUUUCGGGUUGUAAAGCACUUUUGGCAGGAAAGCGGUACCUGAAGAAUAAGCACCGGCUAACUACGUGCCAGCAGCCGCGGUAAUUC